rnacentral:rRNA from 1 species
AUGUGAUCGUCUCUCGCAUAUCAAUAAGCGGAGGAAAAGAAACUAACAAGGAUUCCCCUAGUAACGGCGAGUGAAGCGGGAAGAGCUCAAAUUUGAAAUCUUAAAGGGUUUCCCUUUACGAAUUGUAGUUUAAAGAAGUGUUUUCUGUUGAGGUUUUGGUAAAAGUUCUCUGGAAUAGGACAUCAUAGAGGGUGAGAAUCCCGUAUUUGACCUUUACUUUCAACUUUGUGAUACACUUUCAAAGAGUCGGAUUGUUUGGGAAUGCAGUCCAAAAUGGGUGGUAAAUUUCAUCUAAAGCUAAAUAUUGGCGAGAGACCGAUAGCGAACAAGUACCGUGAGGGAAAGAUGAAAAGAACUUUGAAAAGAGAGUUAAACAGUACGUGAAAUUGUCAAAAGGGAAGCGUUUGACACCAGUGUUGUUUUUCUGAAAAUCAAUUAAAGAACUGUUUAUGCUAAGUUGUUUAGACUUUAUCAGCUAACUGUUUAGUUUUGAGCUUUUCUUUAAUGCACUUUUCAGUUAACAAGUCAACAUCAAUUUCUUUUGCUGUAAAAAAGCUUGAGGAAGGUGGCUUGAGAUUCGUCUUAAGUGUUUAUAGCCUCUUGCCUAUGCAGUCGGAGAGAUUGAGGUCUGCAGCGUAGAUCCUUCGGGGCUAAAUGCAUUUGUGCUAAGUUAUAGCAUUUUAUAGACAACUUGUUGACUAUGAUUUGUCUUGUAGCUUACUCGCUUAUGUUAUUUUACCUACGCUUAGGAUGUUGACACACGCGCGUGCUCG